rnacentral:rRNA from 1 species
UAUGUCUGGUGACUAUAGCAAGGAGGUCACACCUGUUCUCAUGCCGAACACAGAAGUUAAGCUCCUUAGCGUCGAUGGUAGUCGAACUUACGUUCCGCUAGAGUAGAACGUUGCCAGGCAGU